GGGGAUAUACCUCAGUUAGCAGAGUGCUUGCCUCUUAUGCACAAGGCCCUGGGUUCAAUCCCCAGCACCACCA
rfam:Ictidomys tridecemlineatus contig071190, whole genome shotgun sequence.